AACUUGCAUGGGCCUUGUUUGAGUGGAUUUGAAUCAGAUUCGUGCACUGUUCACACAUGCAUUUCAUGCAUAGAGGUGAAAAACCAAUUUGCACUUACACUCCAUAACUUGAUAAUUUCAUUUGCAUUUGAUCUAAACCUGAUUAGAGCAUGAUUAACAUUGCAUAUAUAAACUAAAACCUAACUGUUUUCAGGAUUAGCAACAACUUUCAGAUCUGAAUCUCAAAUUCUCAAAAAAAAUUCUCUCAAACUUUC
rnacentral:lncRNA from 1 species